rnacentral:rRNA from 1 species
GACGAACGCUGGCGGCGUGCUUAACACAUGCAAGUCGAACGGUAAGGCCUUCGGGGUACACGAGUGGCGAACGGGUGAGUAACACGUGGGUGAUCUGCCCUGCACUUCGGGAUAAGCCUGGGAAACUGGGUCUAAUACCGGAUAGGACCACUGCCUGCAUGGGUGGUGGUGGAAAGCUUUUGCGGUGUGGGAUGGGCCCGCGGCCUAUCAGCUUGUUGGUGGGGUGAUGGCCUACCAAGGCGACGACGGGUAGCCGGCCUGAGAGGGUGACCGGCCACACUGGGACUGAGAUACGGCCCAGACUCCUACGGGAGGCAGCAGUGGGGAAUAUUGAGCAAUGGGCGCAAGCCUGAUGCAGCGACGCCGCGUGAGGGAUGACGGCCUUCGGGUUGUAAACCUCUUUCAGCACCGACGAAGCGCAAGUGACGGUAGGUGCAGAAGAAGGACCGGCCAACUACGUGCCAGCAGCCGCAGUAA